GACAGAAUGCCCCAUUUCGGGUAUUGUUGCCUUGCUUGUACUUUCAUCGAGAUUGGGUUGGUGUUCAGUUUUUUUGAACUAUAUGGAAGGGCUUCAGCUUGAUAUUGUGGAAAGAGCUAUUGAACAGGCGUAUGCUUUCUUUCGUUUUUUUAUUCAAUUCGAGAAAGUCUUACAUAAUGAGUAAAAAGAAAAUCAUAUAAGGUAAAAAGAAAAUUUUCGUAAUAAUCGACUUCCGCAAGUUCGAGUUCGGUAAAUCAAGGGACAUUAUCAAUAAUCGAGGGAAAUACACGCAAUUACGGACCAUAAUCCAUCAAAUUGAGCAAGGACUAGCAUUCCAUGGUUGAGCACGGCCUAGACGCCG
rnacentral:lncRNA from 1 species